GAGCCCCCCUAGCCCUGCUCCUCUGGCCGCCGCCGGCGCGGGCGGUGGUGGCGGCGCCCGGCCGUCGAAGGCGGUGGGCGAAUUCGGCGCGCUCCGACGGGCCUCACGCGCGCGAGGGAGAGGCGUCAAGUGGGCGGCGCGGUGUUUUUCUCCGGUGAGGCGGCGCACGGCGAGGUGCGUACGGAGAGGCGGAGCAUGGUCGUGGGAUUGAUGCGGAGAUGCUCGUGCACGGCGACCUGCUUCGAGCCGUCGGUGGUGGUCGGAGUGGAGACGCGCCUCGGCCAGGGAGGCGGCAGAUCUGGGCCAGGAGUGGCCGCGCAAGCGGCGGCCGGGAUCUGCCGCGGCGGCCGGUGGGUGCGGUCUGCCCCUGCUGACCCCGGCGAGAUUCUGCAGGUGCGGCUGUGGGAGCGAGGGGUGGCGGCGCGGGCUGGUUCUGGGCUGCUUGCGCUCGGGUCAGCGGCUUGGUUGUGGGGAGCAUCACGCGGUGGUGCGCGCUUCUGUUGGAUGUGCGUCGAGGUGGCUCCCCGGCCAUGGGCUCCAGAGCUGUGUCCGUUGCUGGGUUGUCCACCAGGAGGUGGUGUGACAGCCGUUGCUUGCGGCAUCAGCAGCUUCUGGCCGUGCUGGUUGUGGAAGGAGUAAUGGAGUUGUUUGUCCCCGAUCAUGCGGAAGGUGGUAGCUGGACUGCGUGUCCUCGCCGUGCAGGGUGUUGGUGUUCUGUGUCGCUAUGAUCACGAUAGCAAGGUGUUGCGGCAGUGGCGGUGUGAUCCAGCACUGACAUUCUGGCCUCAAUUCUUCGCGGGGGUGGGGGUUGGCCAACGUUACGGAUGAAAAUCCUGCCCGUCUUCGGUUGGUGUUGGCGGCGAUGGCGCCCGUGGGUGUCGUUUCCCUCCUUGGAGGCGUCGCUUAGGUGUGUUGGCAUCUCCCCCGCUUGCUUGGGUUGUUGUCUCCGGGCGAAAGCCUAGGUCUUGGACCGGCGAUGGCGGCGUCAUGGCGUCGUUCCUCUGUUGGGAGCAUCGUGGGUGGAGACAUGGCUUGGAGGUUCAGUGUUGUGGUUCUCCGGUGCAUGGCGCUGGUCCGGGUAGAGGUUCUUGGGCGCAAUGUAUGCCGACGUCGGUGACUCUAAGAUGGUGGCUUUCUCGGGAUCAACUUUAAUAUUUUUGUAUCGAUUCUGUAUGUGUAGAUUUGUAAAUGUAACAUCUCAAUGUCACCACACUAUGUUUUUGUAUCGAUUCUGUACAUCAAUAUUUGUGUGUUUGUUUAUUUGUUUUCUAUGUGCUUCUAUUCUGAAUAAUGCUACUUGCCUGAUUGUCUAUUUUUCUAUUCUGAAUGUAGAGAGAGAGAGAGCAUCAUGACUGCCAUGGCUUGAACUAUUUUGCUGAGAUCCUGGAAAAAUUGAAUGGUAUAAUUCUGUUAAUUGGGAACCUUGGAAUUGAUUUUUCACCUGAAAAGGUUGAUCGAGGGUCGGAUAAUGGACGUAACACAGCUGCUAGAGAAGAGAUUAUAAUAUGGAAAAUAGUAGAUGAGGAGGAAGCUAAAGUUGGUAGAUCAAUUGAGCAAGAGUUCCAGACCCAGGCAGCGGAAGGAUCACUCCCCCUCCCCUCGCGUCGCCCACCUGAGGGCGACUCGAGGGUGCCCUCGCCCCGUCCGCCGUGACCACCCCUCUUCGGAUCUCACCGCCUCGACCAAAAUGUGAUUUGAGGCAAAUUCUGCGUUUGAGGCAAGGACAAUAAAAGUGAUGGAGCUUUUGGUCUUCAGCACCUUGAAAUGGAGGAUGCAAGCUGUUACUGCUUGCUCGUUUAUUGACUACUUCCUUUGCAAAUUCAAUGAUCAUGACACACCCUCCAUGCUUGCAUUCUCCUGCUCAACUGACCUCAUCCUGAGCACAACUAAGUGAGCUGAUUUUUUGGUGUUCAGACAUUCAGAGAUUGCUGGAAGUGUUGCACUUCCUUCAUUUGGGGAGCACAAGACUUCAGUUGUCGAAAUGGCUACAACUAAUUGCAAGUAUAUAAACAAGGGAGUGUGAUGUGACAGGAAAGAUCCUGAUGAAGUGCUUCCUUUAUGGAAUGCCUAUCUGAAGUUUGGACUAAGAGACAUGCUUUAAUUGGCUUAGUAAAAAAUACUUGCUAAAGAGAAAUAAGAUUCAAAGUAGAUGUUUUUAUUGUAGAUUAGGAUAUGUGUGUUCUGCCACCGGUUCGACUUCUCAUAUUAGAAGGCAAGCAGUUAGUUCAUAUCUUACUACUUUGCACUAUUGUAGAUGGAUGGUGAGGGAUUGAGAGGCUACUACUAUUAAUGUGCGUAAACUUUGCAUCUUUAGCUCUCUAAAUGAAACCGGUGAUGGUUAACCUGA